UUAUUCCUAACAUUAAACCUAAAUUAAGAUCAGAUAUGUACAUUUUUGUUUCCAUGACAUUUUAUGAUAGUCCUGUAGACAAUUUAGACUUUGUGACUGGGUUUUCUAAUAACCAGAGAGGCUGGGGGGAGGUGUUUACUCCAAGUGCCUGUGCAAAUGUGAAAGUGAAACUUGUGUCGCAGUUUAGGCUUGAGGUGUAGAUUGUUCUGUAAAAACGUGUAGAUAUGCACAUAUAGUCACUAUUAGAGUGGUUAUGGAUUUAAAUCAACUAUUUUGAAUGUGAAGUGGAGGACGUGAAGACCAGUAAAGUUAAAAUGGCAGAGUCCAGAGUUCAUACUCAGUUUAAACUCACCUCAGAAGACUAUGUGGAGGCUGAUGUUGGUGAAGAGGUCACCCUCCCCUGUCACCUCUCACCUGACACCAGUGCUGUUACCACGACGAUCAGGUGGUUUAAAGGGACAGAGUGUAUUUACCUGUAUCAGAAUGGCCAGGUGACAGAGAGGAGUGGCUAUGAGGGCAGAGUGAGUCUGAUCACCCAGGAGCUGGAGAGAGGCAACGUGUCUCUGAGGCUGAGAGACUUCAGGAGGUCAGAUAGAGGAGUCUACAUAUGUCAGGUCAUCCAUGGAGAACAGAAGGAGGAGGCUGCAGUGGGUUUAUGGGAUAUAGGAGGAUUCUUAUUAGAAUUAGCUCAACAGAUAUGUGAUGUGAAGACUGAGGUAGAGAGACUGAGAAGAGAGAUCUCAGCCCAGAUGACUGAACAUGGAGAGACGUCAGAUACAGGUUCCAUACUCCCAGUCAGGAGGAGAGACAGCAAGGAGCUUCCUCCAUUCAUGGGAGGAGAGAGCAGCAGUCCAGACUCCCCAGUGUCUCCCAGUGUGUGAGCUGAGACUGGUGCUGCUGGGGAGGACUGGGGCUGGAAAUACAAACACCUUUGUCUGACAUAUCAAAAUGUAGUGUGGAGAGCGUUUUCCCAUUGGAAAGACGUCGCCCUGAUGUCCUUUGGGUGGUGGACCAGUCUUGAUACACACAGGAAACCCAGCAGCGUUGCAGUUCUUUACACAAGCCAGUGCUCCAUUCACCUGUUACCAUACCCUGUUCAAAGGCAUUUAUAUAUUUUAUCUUGCCCAUUCACCCUUUGAAUGGCACACAUACACAAUCCAUGUCUCAACAUCCUUAUUUAACCUGUCUCCUCCCCUUCAUCUACACUGAUUGAAGUGCAUUUAACAAGUGACAUGAAUAAGGGAUCAUAGCUUUCACCUGGAUUCACCUGGUCAGUCUAUGUCAUGGAAAGAUCAAGUGUCCUUAAUGUUUUGUACACACAGUGUAUGUCUACAGUGAAUUGAUGAGUAAUGCAUUCGAUUACUGUUCUGUUGCUGUUGAGACAACUGUUUUGUGUAGGGGUUAGAGGGGAGACCAGUUAGAGACAACUGUUUUGUGUAGGGGUUAGAGAGGAUACUAGUUAGAGAGACAACUGUUUUGUGUAGGGGUUAGAGAGGAUACUAGUUAGAGAGACAACUGUUUUGUGUAGGGGUUAGAGAGGAGACUAGUUAGAGACAACUGUUUUGUGUAGGGGUUAGAGAGGAGACUAGUUAGAGAGACAACUGUUUUGUGUAGGGGUUAGAGAGGAUACUAGUUAGAGAGACAACUGUUUUGUGUAGGGGUUAGAGAGGAGACUAGUUAGAGACAACUGUUUUGUGUAGGGGUUAGAGAGGAUACUAGUUAGAGACAACUGUUUUGUGUAGGGGUUAGAGAGGAGACUAGUUAGAGACAACUGUUUUGUGUAGGGGUUAGAGAGGAGACUAGUUAGAGAGACAACUGUUUUGUGUAGGGGUUAGAGAGGAUACUAGUUAGAGAGACAACUGUUUUGUGUAGGGGUUAGAGAGGAUACUAGUUAGAGAGACAACUGUUUUGUGUAGGGGUUAGAGAGGAGACUAGUUAGAGAGACAACUGUUUUGUGUAGGGGUUAGAGAGGAUACUAGUUAGAGACAACUGUUUUGUGUAGGGGUUAGAGAGGAUACUAGUUAGAGAGACAACUGUUUUGUGUAGGGGUUAGAGAGGAUACUAGUUAGAGAGACAACUGUUUUGUGUAGGGGUUAGAGAGGAUACUAGUUAGAGAGACAACUGUUUUGUGUAGGGGUUAGAGAGGAGACUAGUUAGAGAGAAUCCCACUGUAUUUUCCGCCACUGUGAGAGAAACAUAGGAGUGUUAUUAUUUUACUACAGUCACACUGUUGUUUUCUAUUUGCUGACCUUCAUCAAUCAAAGUUCAUCAGGAUACUGCUGUUGUUAUGAUGUUAUGUUUCAAGUUGAAACCUUAAACAUAUCUCUACAGUACUCACUAGUGGACAGACAGGCAACGCUCUGCUCAAGUAAGAUUUGGUUCAGGGUUCAGAGGUCACAGUGAAGGAUUGAUGAGUAAUACAUGUGUUUAUUAUAUCCAAACAGACACACAGAAAUAUAUAAGUAUUAUGUUGCUUGUUUUACUAUAUAGAAAGUGUUUUGUUACUUUGUAUCACACAUAGUAUAUGUUAUUUCAACAAUAUUGUAUUAAAUCAGUAUCACUAAAUACCAUAUCAGUGGUUAUGUUGUACAGUACUAAGCACACUUUGGAUUACAUUUUCUGUCCCCAAAAAAUACCUUGUUACUCACAAUAUAGCGUGAAUAAUGUUGUAACUGUUAAUUUACAAUGUAUGUAAGAUGUCCCCUUGUCACGUCCUGACCAGUAAGGGGUUAUUUGUUAUUGUAGUUUGGUCAGGGCGUGGCAGGGGGUGUUUGUUUGUGUGUUUCGGGGUUUUGAUGUAUGUUCUAUAUUUUCUAUUUCUGUGUUUAUUCUAGGUUUCUAUUUCUAUGUUGUGUUUUUUCAAUGACUUCCAAUUAGAGGCAGCUUGUGGUUGUUGUCUCUAAUUGGAGGCCAUAUUUAGUGUGUUCGUUUUCACUUGUGUUUGUGGGUGGUUGUUUCCGUUUUAGUCUGCGAACCUUACUGGACUGUUAUCGUCGUUAUUUUUGUUUAAGUUUGUUUGCCUUCAAUAAAUACUAAGAUGAGCAAUAUA